rnacentral:rRNA from 1 species
AUUGAACGCUAGCGGGAUGCUUUACACAUGCAAGUCGAACGGAGUGGCGGACGGGUGAGUAAUAUAUCGGAACGUGCCCAGUAGCGGGGGAUAACUACUCGAAAGAGUGGCUAAUACCGCAUACUCUUGGAGCGGCCGAUAUCGGAUUAGCUAGUUGGUGGGGUAAAGGCUCCCCAAGGCCACGAUGCAUAGCCGACCUGAGAUGGUGAUCGGCCACACUGGAACUGAGACACGGGCCAGACUCCUACGGUAGGCAGCAGUGGGGAAUAUUGGACAAUGGGCGAAAGCCUGAUCCAGCCAUGCCGCGUGUGUGAAGAAGGUCUUCGGAUUGUAAAGCACUUUAAGUUGGUAGGCGUUACCAACAGAAUAAGCACCGGCUAACUUCGUGCCAGCAGCCGCGGUAAUAC